rnacentral:lncRNA from 1 species
AUGAUAGAGAUCUGCAUGUGCACAAGCAUUUGAAGUGAAUUAACUUUGAAUGGCAGGUAUCAUAUGGUAGGAAAUAUGUUAUGUAUGGUGGUCUUCCUGAGAUGCAGGAGCUUACUCUUAUGUAAGUAAAAGCUGGUCACGGCAUUCUAAUUUAUGAUGACCUGCAGAAAUACGCAAGAAAGAGAUAACGUAUGCAAUAUUAACUGCGUUGAUGCCUAUUCAAUCAAAACAAUCAUUGUUAUCUCUAAAUGUUUCCAUUAUAUGACAUUUUGUG